CCUACGGGUGGCUGCAGUAGGGAAUCUUCCACAAUGGACGAGAGCCUGAUGGAGCAACGCCGCGUGAGUGAAGAAGGGUUUCGGCUCGUAAAGCUCUGUUGGUAGGGAAGAAAGGUAGAGGUAGUGACUGGCCUUUAUUGUACGGUAAUUACUUAGAUCGUCACGGCUAACUACGUGCCAGCAGCAGAGGUAAUACGUAGGUGGCAAGCGUUGUCCGGUUUUAUUGGGCGUAAAGCGAGUGCAGGCGGUUCAAUAAGUCUGAUGUGAAAGCCUUCGGCUCAACCGGUGAAUUGCAUCAGAAACUGUUUAACUUGAGUGUAGAAGAGGAGAGUGGAACUCCAGGUGUAGCGGUGGAAUGCGUAGAUAUAUGGAAGAACACCAGUGGCGAAGGCGGCUCUCUGGUCUGUAACUGACGCUGAGGCUCGAAAGCAUGGGUAGCGAACAGGAUUAGAUACCCUUGUAGUC
rnacentral:rRNA from 1 species